AUACGUAGGGGGCGAGCGUUGUCCGGAAUUAUUGGGCGUAAAGCGCGCGCAGGCGGUUCCUUAAGUCUGAUGUGAAAGCCCGCGGCUUAACCGCGGAGGGUCAUUGGAAACUGGGGAACUUGAGUGCAGAAGAGGAGAGUGGAAUUCCAUGUGUAGCGGUGAAAUGCGUAGAGAUAUGGAGGAACACCAGUGGCGAAGGCGGCUCUCUGGUCUGUAACUGACGCUGAGGCGCGAAAGCGUGGGGAGCAAACAGGAUUAGAUACCCUGGUAGUCCACGCCGUAAACGAUGAGUGCUAAGUGUUAGAGGGUUUCCACCCUUUAGUGCUGCAGCUAACGCAUUAAGCACUCCGCCUGGGGAGUACGGCCGCAAGGCUGAA
rnacentral:rRNA from 1 species